rnacentral:sRNA from 1 species
GCCCGGACCAACCGGUUGGAGCGGGAGAAGCGAUAUUAAAAAAGGCUACCGCUCUCUUGAUGUCGGACGAACUCGAUCGUACGCGCUGAUAGACCAGUUGAGUGAGCAGGAGUCGGUGAGCAUAAAGGGGA